rnacentral:misc_RNA from 1 species
UCUCCGUUGGUGAACCAGCGGAGGGAUCAUUACAGAGUUAUCCAACUCCCAAACCCAUGUGAACUUAUCUCUUUGUUGCCUCGGCGCAAGCUACCCGGGACCUCGUGCCCCGGGCGGCCCGCCGGCGGCCAACCAAACUCUUGUUUCUACAGUGAAUCUCUGAGUAAAAAACAUAAAUGAAUCAAAACUUUCAACAACGGAUCUCUUGGUUCUGGCAUCGAUGAAGAACGCAGC